CUAUCCUGUUCCAUCUUUAUUGGCAAUAGAACCUUUAUUUGCAGCAUAGUGAAGUGUAGUUAAUGUUGUUUCUCCAAAAGCAUACAUAUUGCUCUGAAAGUCAACAACAUAUAUUAAACACAUUCAGAAAGGGACACUAUUUAUGCACUAGAAAGCAUGGGCUGUUUGGUGGUCAACCAUUUAAGCUGCUGCUAAGGCCUUUUCUUGAUAUAAUCCUUCAGCCACCAGCCUCCACAACUUAGCCACGCGAGUGUUAAAACCCUAUCCUCAUCAUCAUCAAGAGGAAAAUCACGUAUUAACCUUAUGAAGAUAUAAAACAAGAAGAGGAAGAAGCUCAAACCAAUGACACAAGUAGCAAUGGUAAGCCCUAAGGAAGGUGCUAGAACUGCAUAAG
rnacentral:misc_RNA from 1 species